CGCACCGCGCAUGCGCCGCGCGGCCCGGGGGGCACGGCUCGCUGUGCCGCGGGGGCGGCCCGGAGAGGGCUCGGAGAGAGAGGUCCUGGAGCGGCCCAGCGGGAACGGGUGGCCCCGGCAGGAGGAGGCUCGAGCUCCUUCCCUUCUCCAUCCCCCCGCCCGCCCUGCCGCGCGCACAGCGGAGCUCAGGCCCGGGUACACAGCGAAGGAGCGGGUGGUGGUGAGGGAAAGGGGAACCCGCACCCGAGCAGGCUGUGCCCUGAGGGUCUUGGACCUGCAAGCACGUCAGGAUUUAGGUGCUGCCAUUAGAAAACCCUUCCUGAUGCUGUCUUUUUGAAGCACAGGUGGGGUUGGACACGCCUGCUGGAAGAGCCUAAAGGCAGAGCACUUGCCAGAAAUGCAGAGGUUGCCUUUCAGCCUGAUGGGGUCCAGGCCUGUAUCUUCACAGACCUUGCUGUCCUCCUCUGAAACAGGCUGGGAACAGAGCACGCAUUAACACUCUGGGCAAAAGCUGGACCACACAGCAUAUGUGCUACAUCACAGCCAGCAGCUAUGAUGUUCAGACAAGAGCUCCAGGUCACAGUUCCUUCUUCUCAAGUUGUUUAUGUUUUAUAUUUAGCAGUACUGAGAUGAAAACCAGAGAUAGGCUUCAACAAAUACUGCUGAUAUUUAUCUCAAAGAUUUGCAGUUGUUAUCUGCAACUUGCAUGAAUAAAGCGUAGAUUUUCCUCUUCACUGUGAAAUUUUUCUUUCCCCAGUCACUGUGAACAAUAUGAGGCUUCUGCUGAUUAUUCAAGUUUCAAUACUGGAUGCAAACUUUAAAUAAUACUUCUUAGCAGGGGUCCUUCCAUCCAGGCAGAGAUGUAAUGAGCAAGGCAAGAGGGAUGUCCUGAUGGUGACAGCUCUGAUGAAGGCUCCAGGCAGCAGACACAAAACUGUUGGUGCCACAUGCUCCUGAAGAUCACCAAGGAUCAGAAGGCAAGAGAGCCUAAACUUGAAGCUGUUACCAUCACUUGUUCCAUUUUCCCUGCUUCUCAUCCUCUAUGGGCUCUGUACCUCUGUUGGAUUUCUGUAAUGACCAACAAACGGUAUCUGCCUCAUGGGGAGAAGACAGGGAGGAGAGGUACUCUCUUCUUACCCCCUUGUCCAGGUACAGUGGGUGCUUGCAGUGUGGUCUUCUUGGUCACAAGGAGUAUCCCAGGCAGCAGAGCAGGCAGAGCAAGGUAGGAGACAGAGCAGUGAGGAUCCUGGUGCAGUGAUCUUGGGAAUAGAGUAUAGCCUGUGUUGUCCCCCACAUGUGAGGAGAAGUAGGGACAGUUGCUGCGUCAGGCUUCAAGGCUCAAUAAUGCCCCCCAUCUGCAAUAAGGGCUAGAUGCACCAAUUUCUCUUGCUAUAGCUUUAUUUGAGCUAAAUGUGUAUUUUAUCAGCCCGUAAUAUACAGGCUUUCCAUUCCAACAACAAAGAACCAAAACACCUUAUGCCCUUGUUAUUGCUGUUGCCAGAGGGAUGAUAUUGAGCAUAGGAGAGUACAGUACAGUAGUACUGAGGAAGUACAGCUGAUCUUCUGAAAAACUUUUUCUCAGACUUUCAAUAUCGUCAUCGUUUUACCAUGCUUUUUUCUGCUGUUGACAGACUUGUCCUGCUCACAGAGAAUAUGGCUGAAAGACCAUUUCCCCAAUCCUUAUUAUGUCAUCCCCUUUUGAAUCCUCUCUUUUGCCCAUCCAGUUACUUAAUUCCUCCUAUCUUCCCCUGUCUAAGCCCUUAGCAUUUGUCUGCUAUCUAGAUGCUGACUCUAGAUCCUUCCUUAUGUUUUUCCAUGAGGAAAUAAUGCCAGUUCCAGUAAUCAUUUCUGAGGAAGCUUGGUGUAAGCAUGUACAAAUUUUAAGAACUUAGGAGAAGACAUCUAGUCCCUUAUAUCUCCACGUGUGGCUGUAAGUGGUCAAUUAAAGAAGUGUUAAAAUGAGGCAUGCCUGUUCCCUAGCACCGUCCCAGCUUCCAACAAUGUUGAGAGAAUUUCCUGAGCUUGAGGUCAUUUAAUAACCCCCAAAAGGUCUCUUCGUAGGAUAUUUUUUCUGGUCUUCUGUUGGGACUGUGCAAAUUUCUGGCAUCUGCAGCCUCUUCUAUUAAGGAAUUCCACAGGUUUACAUCCUGUUGUGUCAAAACCACCUUGUUCUGUUUGUUUCAAACAUAAACAAAUCAUCAAAUUAGAUGUGCCUUAAUGGGAAGGUAUUUGGAUCAAUACCUGUCUAUCUAUUCCAUGAUGCAUAUGCUUUUGUGGACAUCUAUUAUAUCUUCCCCCUAAAUUGUAUUUAGUUCCACAUUUAAUAUGCAAGGCAUAGAAGAAUAACUGUAAAUCAGACACUCUACUUUUAAAAUAAAUAUGACAUCCACGAGUGAAUAAAAUUUAUCUUUUGAAGCUUGCUUCAUUAUAAUACCAUUAUUUGAUUUAGCCAUAUUGAUUUUAUAACCCUGCUUGGCAAGAUUAUGUCUGUACAGCAAGCCAAAGAGACAGACAAGAUGGAACAGCACUGUCAGACCAAAACAUGGGUAAACAGAAACCUGUAGUAGGGCAGAGAGCGGGACACGGAAAAUUACUGUCAUAAUUUACAGACAAACACCACAGCCAAGCUUCUCAGCAAUAACAUGCUGGCAUGUAUGCUGCUAGAUGGGUGAUCUAGACAAUAAUCAGGCUGUGAUAAUAUUCCUGUGCUAAUAAAUACUUCACAAGCUGCUGGUAGGGUCAGAAAUUGAUUUACAGAUCAAAGUAGAAAGUCAUGUGAAGGAAUUCUAAUUAAUUCUAACAAAAGAUCAAAAAAGGAAGUAUUAUUUUUUAGACAGUUUGAAUAAAUAAUUUGUUGUUAUCAUAUAGAAAAUAUUGUUUAUUGAAGGUAAAGUGUGUGCCUUUUUAAAAUCCUGUUUUCUGAAGUUUUGAAGGUUUAGAAUUCAAAAGCAAGUGAGAAAAAAUGAAAGACUGAUUACAAGUUCUGACAGGGGGACAGACCAGUAGCAUGUAGAAUUUGCCUUCUAAGCAGAGGGUUUACUACCUCUAGAUGCAGUGUGAGAUUUAUCUAUUCAAACAUGAAGGCAUCUGAGCAAGAUACUGCAGAGCACUAUUCCUGAAUCAUGUAGGAUGAGAAAUAGCUAAAUGUAAUGGUGCAGUUCAUGUGACCAAGUGUAGAUGUCCUCUUCAAAAUGAGAUGAAUCAUUUCCACACUGUGGGUGUCCAGAGUUUACACAUGAAUCCCACUCACUGUCUCUUAUAUUACAGCUUGUCCCAGCUUAGCCAUCUCCCUAAGGGUGACUGUGUGCUGUCCUUGUUCUAGUCAGUUCUCAGUCACUUGGGAAUUGCUGCCUUUUAAUCUGGUAGCUUUAACAUCAGUUGUGCUACCAUGAAUCCUUCAUGCAGUUCCCCAGUCUGAAUUUAUGGAAAGGACGCAGCUUCUCUGAUAACGUUGUCAGGGAGCAGAAGGACUGGGAAGUACUUGUGGAGCGUUUCUUGCCUUCAGCCAAGGCUGCGACCCUAAUCCAUGUGGUCUUUACCUCAUCAACCCAGUUUGGGAAUCACAUCACUCAUGGAGCAGUGGCUUGGGGGUGGUGUGGCCCUCGCACAGACCAGCUACUCCUUGUGGUGUCAGGGAUGCUCUCGCUAGGCCAGACUGGAGUUAGUGCUGCCACAGCUCUGCAGGUGCUGCUGGCUGGCUGUGUGAGCAGAAGUCACACCUUUGGUGAGAGCAGCCGUGCCUUUGCAGAUGCUCCCAGUGAGACAAGACUGUAGGGUUGGCAAUGGGAAUGGGCAGGUGGCAGAUAAGCUGUGACAGUGGGUCUUAGCACUUAGGAUUUUGGUGGUAAAGUGAAGUGAGAUGCUGGAUGAUAGUGAAAAGUGGCAACUGGCAAUGCAGUCUGGCUGUGGCUGCUGGCACUGAAAUGAGAUUUUGGCAGUAACAGGAGGCUCUGUGCUUCCUGGAAAGAAAAAGUGACUCUUAACAGUAAGAUGUGAUACUGUUGCUGACAUCAGUGAAGUAUUUUUUGCUGCAAUGCACAUCUCCUUGAUACUGAGUCUCUUCUGGGGUUGUUUAGAGUAGAACAGACAUUUCAGUUUCAAUGAACAUCUAGUCCAACUGCCUGAUCACUUCAGGGCUGACCAAAAGUUAAAGCAUGUUAUUAAGGACAUUGUCCAAACACCUCUAAACACUGACAGGCUUGGAGCAUCGACCUCCUCUCUAGGAAGCCUCUUCCAGUGUUUGACCAUUCUCUUGGUAAGAAAUGCUUCCUAAUGUCCAGUCUAACCCUCCCCUGGUGUAGCUGUGAACAAUUCACAUGGGACCUAUCACCAGAUACCAGGGAGAAGGGAUCAGCAUCCCUUCUCCACAUACCCUCCUCGGUAGCAAUGAGGUCACUCCUCAGCCUGCUUUUCUCCAAAUUAGACAAGCCUGAAGUACUCAGCCACUCCUCAAAGGACAUUCCUUCCAGCCUUACUGAGCCAGAGGCUCAAACAUGGCUUCAAAACGGGCUAAUGCUGCCAUAGGAACCUGGAGGAUGACUGAAGCUGUUCAAGGGCAAAGAGGUUGUGUGAGCACAAAAAGGGUUAUUCUGUUGCUCUGGUAUGCAAGCUGUCUCUGCAUAAAUCAAGAGUAAGUAGGGAAGUCAAGGCUAAAGUAGGAUAACAUAUUUCUGUUCAAAAAGCAUAUGGUAUAGAUGAAAUGUAAUCAGCUUGAAUGAAACGGGCUGAAGGGAGUCUUGGGACUAUCUAGAUUAAUAGGAUGAGCAAAUACCACAUUGUGUCAAAACUGCCUAGAUAACAGUGUUAGAAAUAUCAAAUUUGGAUGUGGAUGUAGCAGAAUUGGCACUAAUGAGGAAAAAAUAAUUAGAGGCAGGUCAUUAAAUAGGUCCCAUUUUUGUGGGAGGACUCUAGGCAGAGAAAGAGAGAUGCAAGGUUGUUGACAAGGUGGGCUUAGGAAAAUAAACACUAGGAAUUAAAAUAAUUAAAUAGGAAAAAAACCCAGGAAAUAAUUUAAAAAUAGGCAUUAGGUAUAAUUCUGUGGAGAACAAAGAGGCGUGGGAUAUUCUGGUUGUAGAAGUGUGGAUACCUCCAGUGGUAAAGCUGACCUAUGGAUGGUGGACAACACACUUGGGACAGCCUGCUGGACUCUAAUCAGGUCUAUGUCCAAAAGACUUGGCAUGCAAGGGUGGGCUGAGAAGGGGUGGGCUUAUGCCCUAAUACUAAGUGUAGAAGGGAAGGCAAUAGAAUUGUAAUGUGAUAGAGCUUGCAUGUGAUUUAAUUGAUUUCUUCAUAGUAAUUGUCACUUAGUACUAGAGGUAACAGGCAAUAUAACUGGAACUCAGAAUUGCUGUGCUCAUAGUGAUACAGUUGUGAAUGAGUCCUGCUAAUAUUAGACAUUUGUUCAUUAGCCAAUUAAGGUAGUAUCAGUCUCUCGUGUUAGUCAGUUACAGGUAAGGUCUCCAGUCUAAGAGAGAAGAGUCAGACACAUAAGAUACCAUGAUCAUUAUUUUAAAAGCUAUUUUGUAUGCAAAAAGCUAAAACCAUUUCAUUUCCCCCAAAUAUGCCAAGUGAUUAUUCACAACAAUGAAGAAAAAGAAACAGGAAGAACUUUGGUGUCCUGUGAUGUGGUCCUAGUGCUUUCAUUCUGCUGUCAUUAUGACACCGAUCAUUGUGGAGUCAAGAGAGCUUGCAGUGGUGCUAUGUGGAGUCCAAAUGUGGAAGUUUUGUGGGGGCUCAAUACUGUGGCUGAAGACAGUGAGACAGAAGUGCUGAAAUGCUUCCGUAGCAGAGACUGCAGCUGCAUAUGGUUUGCUUGUGGCAGGAAAUGCAUCCAUGUUAAAAAGCAGUCAAGGCCUUCUCCUCAUACCACCCUGCCAGAAAAGAGGCUGAGAGUGCACAAGGAGUUGGGAAGGGACUCAGCCAGGACAGCUGAAACCCCAACUGACCCAAGGGAUAUUCCAUACCAUAUGGCACCAUGCUCAGUAUAUAAAGCUGGUGGAAGAAGCAGGAAGGGGAAUGUUUGGAGUGAUAGCAUUUGUCUUCCCAAGUCACAUGUGAUGGGGCUCUGCUUUCCUGGGAAUGGCUGAGCACCUGCCUGCCCAUGGGAAGUGGUGAAUAAAUUCCUUGUUUUACUUUG